GUCAAAGGCUAAUAGCACCAGCUGCUUUCCAUUGCCCUAAGGAGUGAUUCUACUGCGGCAACGAGACCAAAUACAACGAGAGUAUUGAUUCUGCAAAAGAAGACGGAUCUUUUGGUAGGCUGGUUAAUGAUGACCACAAGCACCCAAAUGGCAGAAUGCAGAAGACUGAAGUGGAUGGAAGCCCACAUCUUGGUCUGUUUGCUUUAACAGACUUUAAAGAAGGUGAUGAAAUUACCAACAAUUACGGAGGAGGAGACUGGCCUUGGUGUAGCAAGAUUAUGGAGGGGGACACUGCUGAGAGCAAUGGCCAGGAGAAACAGCAGCCAUCACAGUCUACACCUUUUCUGGAUCAUAAAUAUCAGAAUUGUGUAGUUUGCUGGCACUUUUAAUCCUGCCUUUCAAUCACACCUCUCCAUAAUUUCCAACAUAAGCAUCCCCUGGGACUCAGUAGGUUCCCUACUGCAUCUUCUCCAAGAAAACUGAGUACUCUUAGUUACUAUUUGGUACAUAUGCACAAACUGCAGUCAGAGUUUUCAUUCGUGAGACGUGAAAUGUAAAACAUCUACUCUGAAAAAGAGGAAGGCUCGGGAAGGAAAUGAGGUCCAUGCAGUGGAGAGACAUAUGAAGACCUUCAUCAUGUCAUGUCGUGUCCCAGGGAAGUUGGUUGAGUUGGUGUUUUCUCACAGAGGAAAGCUGUAGAGUUCUGUCCUCAGUUCUCAGAUCAAACUCCUCCAGACUGAGAGAACUGAACCUGAGUCACAAUAACCUGCAGGAUUCAGGAGUGAAGCUGCUCUCUGCUGGACUGGAGAAUCCACACUGUACACUGGAGAUACUGAGGAUGUGGAACUGCAGUAUUACAGAUGAAGGUUGUGCUGCUCUGGCUUCUGCUCUGAGGUCAAACUCCUCAUCACUCCUGAGAGAACUGGAUCUGAAGGGUAAUAAUCCAGGAGAAUCAGGAGUGAAGCUGCUCUCUGAUCUACUGAAGGAUCCACACUGUAACCUGGAGACACUACACAUUAACUAUAAUAAACUCACCAGGACUGGAGUAUGACAGGAGUCUCACCUCAAACCUCUUCUCCAGGAUAACGCAGUCUUGGUGAAGAGUUAGAACCCGUCCCACAUUUCCAGCAGUUUGGGAGCUGAAUCAUUAAACUUAAAGGGGCAGAGCAGAAACAAAGUCAAGAACAGGCAGAAGGUUGUACACAGGAGAAAUCAACACACGUAACCAAAUAUCUGCUGUACAAAGCAACGGCACCGAUCUGCCCCGGGGAUGGAGACUGACGAGGCUUAAGUACACGUCCGGAAAUGUACAGCCAACUCAUCCCAAAGCACGAGGCGGGAGCAGGCGUGUACGAGAUGUGAUCGUCCAAUGGCAAGCAGGAACAUGACGCAUUGCAGUGGACUGGGCUUAAAAGAGGAGGAGACAAGACACCCAUCCCUCCCCCCAUAUAGACACACGAAUGGAACAUAGUACAAACAGAAAUACAACUGAGGACGUAACAAUGGUCAAGUAUCAAAUAAAAUGUAAACUUGCAUUGAUGAAGUUAAUGUUGUUAGUAAUUGUUUAUAAAUUACCAUGGUAACACGGAGCUCCAAGGUAUAAAAAUAUGGAGUUUGUCAUCAAUCAAACAGUAACCAGUUUUAAUACCUAAAAAAGUUUACAUAGCAAAAUUUAGCAAAGCGCUUUACAGUAAAUUAAAAUGUAAGAUUAAACUAAUGAAAUGUUGUGCAGCACAUGCUUAUGUUAAUGUUUGUUUCAUUAUAUAAUCAUAUAAAUAAAUAAAUACUCCCAAAGUCACCAGAAUUGAAAGCUUUGGUGCUGUUAAACAUUUAGAGAUUGAGGUUGUGGUGACUCAGUAGUUCACUCAGUAUAUCUGGGUAAGACACAGUGAACGACUCACUGCUGGCAUUCAUGAAGAAGUCAUAAACUCCACUGGAAUAAUAAAUAGGAUCUAAUAAAACCA